rnacentral:rRNA from 1 species
GACGAACGCUGGCGGCGUGCUUAACACAUGCAAGUCGAACGGAAAGGCCCUGCUUUUGUGGGGUGCUCGAGUGGCGAACGGGUGAGUAACACGUGAGUAACCUGCCCUUGACUUUGGGAUAACUUCAGGAAACUGGGGCUAAUACCGGAUAGGAGCUCCUGCUGCAUGGUGGGGGUUGGAAAGUUUCGGCGGUUGGGGAUGGACUCGGGGCUUAUCAGCUUGUUGGUGGGGUAGUGGCUUACCAAGGCUUUGACGGGUAGCCGGCCUGAGAGGGUGACCGGCCGCAUUGGGGCAGGGAUGCUGCCGAGACUCCUGCUGAAGUCAACAGUGAGGAAUAUUGCACAAUGGUCGGAAGCCUGACGCAGCAACGCCGCGUGCGAGAUGACGACCUUCAAGUUAUAAACCGCUUUCGCCUGUGACGAAGCGUGAGUGACGGUAAUGGGUAAAGAGGCACCGGCUAACUACGUG